rnacentral:rRNA from 1 species
AGGUUAAGCAGUAAAUGUGGAGCCGUAGCGAAAGCGAGUCUGAAUAGGGCGUUUAGUAUUUGGUCGUAGACCCGAAACCAGGUGAUCUACCCUUGGUCAGGUUGAAGUUCAGGUAACACUGAAUGGAGGACCGAACCGACUUACGUUGAAAAGUGAGCGGAUGAACUGAGGGUAGCGGAGAAAUUCCAAUCGAACCUGGAGAUAGCUGGUUCUCUCCGAAAUAGCUUUAGGGCUAGCCUCAAGUGAUGAUUAUUGGAGGUAGAGCACUGUUUGGACGAGGGGCCCCUCUCGGGUUACCGAAUUCAGACAAACUCCGAAUGCCAAUUAAUUUAACUUGGGAGUCAGAACAUGGGUGAUAAGGUCCGUGUUCGAAAGGGAAACAGCCCAGACCACCAGCUAAGGUCCCAAAAUAUAUGUUAAGUGGAAAAGGAUGUGGCGUUGCCCAGACAACUAGGAUGUUGGCUUAGAAGCAGCCAUCAUUUAAAGAGUGCGUAAUAGCUCACUAGUCGAGUGACACUGCGCCGAAAAUGUACCGGGGCUAAACA